CCACUGUAGUAAAUGAUCGCGGCUUUCGCACAGUGCGAAAGGUGAGGAAAGUCCGGGCUCCAUAGGGCAGGAUGCCGGAUAACGUCCGGUAGAGGCGACUCUAAGGAAAGUGCAACAGAAAGAUACCGCCAACAUUUUGUUGGUAAGGGUGGAAUGGCAGUGUAAGAGACUACCGCCUCCACGGUAACGGGGAGGGCACAUGUAAACCCCAUCCGGAGCAAGACCAAACAGAAAGCGACAGGUUUGCCCGACCUGCUUUCAGGUAGGUCGCUUGAGGCUGUUGGCAACAACAGUCCUAGAUAGAUGAUCAUUCUUCGUGUAUAACGAUGACAUAACCCGGCUUAUCGCUGCGGUGGCAGU
rnacentral:RNase_P_RNA from 1 species